GACGAACGCUGGCGGCGUGCCUAAUACAUGCAAGUCGAGCGGUGCUACUUCGGUAGCAUAGCGGCGAACGGGUGAGUAACACGUGGGCAACCUGCCCCCAAGACAGGGAUAACUUCGGGAAACCGGAGCUAAUACCAGAUAAUCUUUUUCUUUGCAUGAAGAGAAAGUAAAAGGCUUCGGCCGUUUGGGGAUGGGCCCGCGACGCAUUAGCUAGUUGGUGGGGUAAAGGCCUACCAAGGCGACGAUGCGUAGCCGACCUGAGAGGGUGACCGGCCACACUGGGACUGAGACACGGCCCAGACUCCUACGGGAGGCAGCAGUAGGGAAUUUUCCGCAAUGGGCGAAAGCCUGACGGAGCAACGCCGCGUGAGUGAAGACGGUUUUCGGAUUGUAAAGCUCUGUUCUGUGGGAAGAAAAAAAUGACGGUACCAUAGGAGAAAGCCCCGGCUAACUACGUGCCAGCCGCCGCAGUAAAAC
rnacentral:rRNA from 1 species